rnacentral:rRNA from 1 species
AUACGUAGGGGGCGAGCGUUGUCCGGAAUGAUUGGGCGUAAAGGGCGCGUAGGCGGCGCGGUAAGUCUGGAGUGAAAGUCCUGCUUUCAAGGUGGAAAUUGCUUUGGAUACUGCCGCGCUUGAGUGCAGGAGAGGUUAUCGGAAUUCCCGGUGUAGCGGUGAAAUGCGUAGAGAUCGGGAGGAACACCAGUGGCGAAGGCGGGUAACUGGACUGCAACUGACGCUGAGGCGCGAAAGUGUGGGGAGCAAACGGGAUUAGAUACCCUGGUAGUCCACACUGUAAACGAUGAAUGCUAGGUGUAAGAGGUAUCGACCCCUUUUGUGCCGGAGUCAACACAAUAAGCAUUCCGCCUGGGGAGUACGGCCGCAAGGUUGAAACUCAAAGGAAUUGGCGGGG